UACAGAGGUCUCAAGCGUUGUUCGGAUUCAUUGGGCGUAAAGGGUGCGUAGGCGGCGCGGUAAGUCGGGUGUGAAAUCUCGGAGCUUAACUCCGAAACUGCAUUCGAUACUGCCGUGCUUGAGGACUGGAGAGGAGACUGGAAUUUACGGUGUAGCGGUGAAAUGCGUAGAUAUCGUAAGGAAGACCAGUGGCGAAGGCGAGUCUCUGGACAGUUACUGACGCUGAGGCACGAAGGCCAGGGGGAGCAAACGGGG
rnacentral:rRNA from 1 species